CCUACGGGAGACAGCAGUGAGGAAUAUUGGUCAAUGGCCGGAAGGCUGAACCAGCCAAGCCGCGUGAGGGAGGAAGGCGCUGUGCGUUGUAGACUGCUUUUGUCGGGGGAUAAAAGCCCGUACUCGUCUGUUUCUGAGGGUAUCCGGCGAAUAAGGAUCGGCUAACUCCGUGCCAGCAGCCGCGGUAAUACGGAGGAUGCGAGCGUUAUCCGGCUUUAUUGGGUUUAAAGGGUGCGUAGGCGGGCCUUUAAGUUGGUGGUGAAAUCGCGGGGGUCAACUUCGGCGGGGCGUUGGAUACUGGGCGCCUAGAGUGCAGUGGCGGUAUGCGGAAUGCGCGGUGUAGCGGUGAAAUGCAUAGAUAUCGCACAGAACCCCGAUUGCGAAGGCAGCGUACCAUGCCGCUACUGACGCUGAGGCACGAAAGCGCGGGGAUCAAACAGGAUUAGAUACCCCAGUAGUC
rnacentral:rRNA from 1 species